rnacentral:tRNA from 1 species
AGCUUUGUAGUCAAAAAUGAUUUCAAAUUGCAAGUUUGAGGGUGAUUAAUAUUCAAGGCUU